rnacentral:tRNA from 1 species
GAAUUAAAAGCUUUAGCGUUUCAUUUACACAGAAAAGAAUAAUCAUCCAAUUUUCAUAAACUUUCUUUGA